CGGCGAGUGAAGCGGCAACAGCUCAAAUUUGAAAUCUGGCCUCGGCCCGAGUUGUAAUUUGCAGAGGAAGCUUUAGGCGCGGCACCUUCUGAGUCCCCUGGAACGGGGCGCCAUAGAGGGUGAGAGCCCCGUAUAGUUGGAUGCCUAGCCUGUGUAAAGCUCCUUCGACGAGUCGAGUAGUUUGGGAAUGCUGCUCAAAAUGGGAGGUAAAUUUCUUCUAAAGCUAAAUACCGGCCAGAGACCGAUAGCGCACAAGUAGAGUGAUCGAAAGAUGAAAAGCACUUUGAAAAGAGGGUUAAAUAGCACGUGAAAUUGUUGAAAGGGAAGCGCUUGUGACCAGACUUGCGCCGGGCUGAUCAUCCGGUGUUCUCACCGGUGCACUCUGCCCGGCUCAGGCCAGCAUCGGUUCUCGCGGGGGGAUAAAGGCCCAGGGAACGUAGCUCCUCCGGGAGUGUUAUAGCCCUGGGUGUAAUGCCCUCGCGGGGACCGAGGUUCGCGCAUCUGCAAGGAUGCUGGCGUAAUGGUCACCAGCGAC
rnacentral:rRNA from 1 species